GGUCUUCAGAAGCCAUCCCCGAAACUGCAGAAAGAAGCCCCCUGAAGUGAUUGUAUCCUUGGGUCUGAGUAUGUGCCCCUCUCCCAACCCCCAACAGCUGGGACUUGAGAUAAGAAGGGUAGGUCUCUCACUAAACGGGAUUGUUGUUCUUAGAGACAAGCCACUUCCCCUCUCUCAUGCUAAGGACAUGGAAGGAGGCACCGUUCACCAGUUUUGGGGGUGUGGCAGUGGAGUCUCUUCCCUAGCUCUGGACUUUGUCUUAAUCCUGUAUUCCCUGACUCCAUUUCUAUUCUGUAGCUCACAGCAGAAAUGGCUGUCUUGUACAUAUUCAAAGACCCCACACUAAAUAUCACACUAUUGGUGAAGCUGCAGAUUGACCACAUGCUGGGAAUUGAAAUCAACAUCUUAUAAUGUUUUCUAGCGUUUUAAUUUUCGACGAGACUUCAUUGUUUUAGUACAACAUUAUACCACUAAUUCCUGAUUGAACCUAGUAAUGAAGUGAAUUUCCUCGCUCUGGGAGGAUAUGCUAAGAGCAGUUCCAAUUGGGACAGCAAACACAGCUGGAGUGAUGGGAAGGCAGGUCAGGGUUGCCCAGGUCAGGCUUCU
rnacentral:lncRNA from 1 species